rnacentral:lncRNA from 1 species
GUAAUGCUUGACUUUCUUUGUAGCUUUCUAAUACUCUAUUCCUGGAUUAUGUUGAUAAUGUCUAAGUAUUGAUACAGCAAAAGCAAUGUUUAGAUGUAUAUAGAUAUCGAUAUAUUUAAACUCUCAACAACAUAUACAUAGAUUAUGAAUCUUAUUUCCUCUUUCUUUAUCUUGAUUCUUGGAUAUUGAGGUUUAUUAAAUUUAUCAUCUUUUAUAAUAAGAGCA